CUACGGGGGGCACCAGGCGAGAAAACUUUGCAAUGUGCGAAAGCACGACAAGGUUAAUCCGAGUGGUUUCUGCUAAAGGAACCUUUUGACAGUCCUAGAAACACUGUUGAAUAAGGGGUGGGCAAGUUCUGGUGUCAGCCGCCGCGGUAAAACCAGCACCUCAAGUGGUCAGGAUGAUUAUUGGGCCUAAAGCAUCCGUAGCCGGCUCUGUAAGUUUUCGGUUAAAUCUGUACGCUCAACGUACAGGCUGCCGGGGAUACUGCAGAGCUAGGGAGUGGGAGAGGUAGACGGUACUCGGUAGGAAGGGGUAAAAUCCUUUGAUCUAUUGAUGACCACCUGUGGCGAAGGCGGUCUACCAGAACACGUCCGACGGUGAGGGAUGAAAGCUGGGGGAGCAAACCGGAUUAGAUACCCCUGUAGUC
rnacentral:rRNA from 1 species